CCUAGGGGGGGCUGCAGUGGGGAAUAUUGGACAAUGGGCGAAAGCCUGAUCCAGCCAUGCCGCGUGUGUGAAGAAGGCCUUCGGGUUGUAAAGCACUUUCAGUGGGGAAGAAAGCCUUGGGGCUAAUACCCUCGAGGAAGGACAUCACCCACAGAAGAAGCACCGGCUAACUCCGUGCCAGCAGCCGCGGUAAUACGGAGGGUGCGAGCGUUAAUCGGAAUUACUGGGCGUAAAGCGCGCGUAGGCGGUCUGAUAAGCCGGUUGUGAAAGCCCCGGGCUCAACCUGGGAACGGCAUCCGGAACUGUCAGGCUAGAGUGCAGGAGAGGAAGGUAGAAUUCCCGGUGUAGCGGUGAAAUGCGUAGAGAUCGGGAGGAAUACCAGUGGCGAAGGCGGCCUUCUGGACUGACACUGACGCUGAGGUGCGAAAGCGUGGGUAGCAAACAGGAUUAGAUACCCUUGUAGUC
rnacentral:rRNA from 1 species